GCUCAUUAGAGCAGAUAUCACCUUAUGCGGGAUCCUCAUAUGGAUAACUGCGCCAAUACUGGAGCUAAUACAUGCAACUAUACCCCAACGCAAGGCGGGGGGCAUUUAUUAAAACAGACCAAACGUUUUCGGACGUUGUUUGUUGACUCUGAAUAAAGCAGUUUACUGUCAGUUUCGACUGACUCUAUCCGGAAAGGGUGUCUGCCCUUUCAACUAGAUGGCAGUUUAUUGGACUACCAUGGUUGUUACGGAUAACGGAGAAUAAGGGUUCGACUCCGGAGAGGGAGCCUUAGAAACGGCUACCACGUCCAAGGAAGGCAGCAGGCGCGAAACUUAUCCACUGUUGAGUAUGAGAUAGUGACUAAAAAUAUAAAGACUCAUCCUUUUGGAUGAGUUAUUUCAAUGAGUUGAAUACAAA
rnacentral:rRNA from 1 species